UACGUAUGGUGCAGGCGUUAAUCGGAAUUACUGGGCGUAAAGCGUGCGCAGGCGGCUUCCUCAGUCAGAUGUGAAAUCCCCGGGCUUAACCUGGGAACUGCGUUUGAAACUGGGAGGCUAGAGUGCGGCAGAGGGGGGUGGAAUUCCACGUGUAGCAGUGAAAUGCGUAGAUAUGUGGAGGAACACCGAUGGCGAAGGCAGCCCCCUGGGCCUGCACUGACGCUCAUGCACGAAAGCGUGGGGAGCAAACAGG
rnacentral:rRNA from 1 species